AUGAUCUGUUUCAACUGCAGUUUGCCUGGACAUUAUGUGGGGAAUUGUGUAGAGGCAAAAAAAUGCUUUAUCUGCGCUGGGAACCACAACGUCAACAAUUGCGCUGCCUGGGCAAAACCACAACCUGCUGCCACUUAUUUUGGUAGUGCUGCUUCAGGUCUAGGAUUUUACCAUGUUGAAGUUCCUGUGGCGGCUCAAUCUAGCUGGUUAAAUUACAAGAACUGUGCUGUUCUCAAGGUGAUUAAGGGAGAGGUUUCUGUCUCGGAUCUACUAACUCAGUUAAAUGGGAUCUUUUGUAAGAACAAAGAGUGUCCAUGGCAAAUCAGGGAGCUGGAGAACAAGAAAUUCGUGCUGAGAUUUCCCCCUUGGAAAAAUGUGGAUGACCUAAUUGAAUUUCCCCCUUUUGAGCAGCCAAUUGCUGGUGUAUCUGUCAAAAUCUGUGAAUGGGAAGGAAUGUUGGAUGAAUUUGGAGCACUAACUGAAGCUUGGGUACAGAUUGAAGGAAUUCCACCCAAGUGGUGCGCCUGGAAAGUCUUUGCCCAGAUCACAGCGUGUUUUGGAAUACUGGUGGAUGUGGACUGGAAUGGUAUUUUCAAGAGCUUCUAUGAAAUUAUUCGAGUCAAAGUUGCCUGCAGAGAUCCCAGGAAGAUUCCUUUCGAGAGAUUGGUGGAGAUGAAAAAGAAAUUAUACCUGUUGUUCUUUACAGUGGAAGGGUUCGAG
rnacentral:rRNA from 1 species